rnacentral:rRNA from 1 species
CCCAGACUCCUACGGGAGGCAGCAGUGGGGGAUAUUGCACAAUGGGGGGAACCCUGAUGCAGCGACGCCGCGUGGGUGAAGGAGCGUUUCGGCGCGUAAAGCCCUAUCGGCAGGGAAGAAGGAGGACGGUACCUGACUAAGAAGCCCCGGCUAACUACGUGCCAGCAGCCGCGGUAAUACGUAGGGGGCAAGCGUUAUCCGGAUUUACUGGGUGUAAAGGGGGCGCAGACGGCAGCGCAAGCCAGGAGUGAAAGCCCGGGGCCCAACCCCGGGACUGCUCUUGGAACUGCGCGGCUGGAGUGCAGGAGGGGCAGGCGGAAUUCCUGGUGUAGCGGUGAAAUGCGUAGAUAUCAGGAGGAACACCGGUGGCGGAGGCGGCCUGCUGGACUGCGACUGACGUUGAGGCCCGAAAGCGUGGGGAGCAAACAGGAUUAGAUACCCUAGUA